UACGGGGGGAGCAAGCGUUGUUCGGAUUUACUGGGCGUAAAGGGCGCGUAGGCGGCCACCGCAAGUCGACUGUGAAAUCUCCGGGCUUAACCCGGAAAGGUCAGCCGAUACUGCGGGGCUAGAGUGCAGAAGGGGCAACUGGAAUUCUCGGUGUAGCGGUGAAAUGCGUAGAUAUCGGAAGGAACAUCAGUGGCGAAAGCGACUUCCUGAACCAGUACCGACGUUCAGGCACGAAAGCGUGGGGAGCAAACAGG
rnacentral:rRNA from 1 species